UGCCCUCCCCUUGUCAAGGCCCCUCUGAGGCAGCCGUGGAGCUGAGAUUUUGGUGUUCAGGGCUUGGGACGUGUCCCGGCAGAGCCAGCAGCCCGUGGGCCCCGUGGCACCGCAGUGAGCUCACCCUCUGCCCGGAGCACAAGGGAUAUUUCCCUGUGCAGCCACCCCAGUCCCACCCCAAGCCAUGUCCCGUGGCACCACGCAGCUCUCAAACAUAUCCAAAGAUUGGGAUCCACCGCUGAACUCGCAGCAGGGCCACAAGCCACAAAUAUUUAGGGUCCCCCCCUCGCUGCCACCGCUCCCUCUUCUUCCCAAGGCGCAUCCUUAACCGCCGUGCCCAGCGGGGACCUGGAGGUCACCGUGGACUUCCUCACCGAGGUGGACAAGCUGGUGCAGCUCAUCGAGUGCCCCAUAUUCACCUAUCUCCGCCUGCAGCUGCUGGACGUGAAGAACAACCCCUACUUGAUCAAGGCGCUGUAUGGGCUGCUGAUGCUGCUGCCCCAGAGCAGCGCCUUCCAGCUCCUCUCCCACCGGCUGCAGUGCGUGCCCAACCCCGAGCUCAUGCAGAGCGCGUAGGUGCCAGGGACGGGAUGGGGACAGGGACAGGGAUGGGAUGGGGAUGGGGACAG
rnacentral:lncRNA from 1 species